rnacentral:rRNA from 1 species
CAAUAUUUUAAGACUGUUUAAAAUCAGUCUUACGUCCGAUCUCGGAAGCUAAGCAGGGUCAGGCCUGGUUAGUACUUGGAUGGGAGACCACCUAGGAAGACCAGGUGCUGUAGACG